CAGUCACAGUUCUUUGUUUACCAUUAAGAUCAUCCUCCACCUACCAUUAUUUUGCCUGUGGCAAUGGAAAGUCCACGCUAUUGGGAAGCUCAGCAGCUUUAGCUGCACAGAUUGGCACCAGGCAAGAGCAGAGGGGAAGGUCGUUAUUCAUCCUCGACUCCCAUUGGAGGUCAGCAGGUCAAGCUCGAGAAUGAGUUGAUGAGGAAAAGGUGACAAGUAAGAAAGAUUGACGUGGCCAGCAAUAGCCUGCUAUGGAUUGGAGACGAUUAUACAUGGACCUCUGGAUUAUACAUUUCGGUUUGCUGCUUCAUGUAAAAGAGAUGACACUCAUGAGUGAGGGAUUUUCGCUACACUCAAUGAAAGCAAACCCAUAUCUCAUCUUGCCAUUGAAUUAUUUGAGGGAGAUCUUCACUUUAUACGGUAGAAUAAAACCUGAAAUGAUGCCAGCAGAGACCAGAUGGGAAUUUCCAGAAAUUUCUGUUUUUACAACUUCAAUCAGUACUUAUUACUGCUGCGUAUGGGAC